rnacentral:rRNA from 1 species
AAGGGUCGAAAAUCUGACGGAGCACGCCCCGUGAGUGUAGAAGGUUUCGGAUCGUAAAGCUCUGUUGUUAGGGAAGAACAAGUGCGAGAGUAACUGCUCGCACCUUGACGGUACCUAACCAGAAAGCCACGGCUAACUAAGAGACAGCAGUAAAGGUAA